rnacentral:tRNA from 1 species
GCCCCAGUAGCUUAAACCAAAGCGCCGGUCUUGUAAUCCGGAGACUGGAGGUUAAAAUCCCCCCUGGUGCC